rnacentral:rRNA from 1 species
GACGAACUGUCCUAACGUUGUUCGGAAUUACUGGGCGUAAAGGGUUCGUAGGUGGCCAACUAAGUCAUACGUGAAAUCCCUCAGCUUAACUGGGGAACUGCGUCUGAUACUGGUUGGCUUGAGUGCAGGAGAGGAACGCGGAAUUCCAGGUGUAGCGGUGAAAUGCGUAGAUAUCUGGAGGAACACCGGUGGCGAAGGCGGCGUUCUGGACUGCAACUGACACUGAGGAACGAAAGCCAGGGGAGCAAACGGG